rnacentral:rRNA from 1 species
UGUGAGCUCGAUGAGUAGGGCGGGACACGUGGUAUCCUGUCUGAAUAUGGGGGGACCAUCCUCCAAGGCUAAAUACUCCUGACUGACCGAUAGUGAACCAGUACCGUGAGGGAAAGGCGAAAAGAACCCCGGCGAGGGGAGUGAAAAAGAACCUGAAACCGUGUACGUACAAGCAGUGGGAGCACGCUUAGGCGUGUGACUGCGUACCUUUUGUAUAAUGGGUCAGCGACUUAUAUUCUGUAGCAAGGUUAACCGAAUAGGGGAGCCGAAGGGAAACCGAGUCUUAACUGGGCGUUAAGUUGCAGGGUAUAGACCCGAAACCCGGUGAUCUAGCCAUGGGCAGGUUGAAGGUUGGGUAACACUAACUGGAGGACCGAACCGACUAAUGUUGAAAAAUUAGCGGAUGACUUGUGGCUGGGGGUGAAAGGCCAAUCAAACCGGGAGAUAGCUGGUUCUCCCCGAAAGCUAUUUAGGUAGCGCCUCGUGAAUUCAUCUCCGGGGGUAGAGCACUGUUUCGGCAAGGGGGUCAUCCCGACUUACCAACCCGAUGCAAACUGCGAAUACCGGAGAAUGUUAUCACGGGAGACACACGGCGGGUGCUAACGUCCGUCGUGAAGAGGGAAACAACCCAGACCGCCAGCUAAGGUCCCAAAGUCAUGGUUAAGUGGGAAACGAUGUGGGAAGGCCCAGACAGCCAGGAUGUUGGCUUAGAAGCAGCCAUCAUUUAAAGAAAGCGUAAUAGCUCACUGGUCGAGUCGGCCUGCGCGGAAGAUGUAACGGGGCUAAACCAUGCACCGAAGCUGCGGCAGCGACGCUUAUGCGUUGUUGGGUAGGGGAGCGUUCUGUAAGCCUGUGAAGGUGUGCUGUGAGGCAUGCUGGAGGUAUCAGAAGUGCGAAUGCUGACAUAAGUAACGAUAAAGCGGGUGAAAAGCCCGCUCGCCGGAAGACCAAGGGUUCCUGUCCAACGUUAAUCGGGGCAGGGUGAGUCGACCCCUAAGGCGAGGCCGAAAGGCGUAGUCGAUGGGAAACAGGUUAAUAUUCCUGUACUUGGUGUUACUGCGAAGGGGGGACGGAGAAGGCUAUGUUGGCCGGGCGACGGUUGUCCCGGUUUAAGCGUGUAGGCUGGUUUUCCAGGCAAAUCCGGAAAAUCAAGGCUGAGGCGUGAUGACGAGGCACUACGGUGCUGAAGCAACAAAUGCCCUGCUUCCAGGAAAAGCCUCUAAGCAUCAGGUAACAUCAAAUCGUACCCCAAACCGACACAGGUGGUCAGGUAGAGAAUACCAAGGCGCUUGAGAGAACUCGGGUGAAGGAACUAGGCAAAAUGGUGCCGUAACUUCGGGAGAAGGCACGCUGAUAUGUAGGUGAAGUCCCUCGCGGAUGGAGCUGAAAUCAGUCGAAGAUACCAGCUGGCUGCAACUGUUUAUUAAAAACACAGCACUGUGCAAACACGAAAGUGGACGUAUACGGUGUGACGCCUGCCCGGUGCCGGAAGGUUAAUUGAUGGGGUCAGCGCAAGCGAAGCUCUUGAUCGAAGCCCCGGUAAACGGCGGCCGUAACUAUAACGGUCCUAAGGUAGCGAAAUUCCUUGUCGGGUAAGUUCCGACCUGCACGAAUGGCGUAAUGAUGGCCAGGCUGUCUCCACCCGAGACUCAGUGAAAUUGAACUCGCUGUGAAGAUGCAGUGUACCCGCGGCAAGACGGAAAGACCCCGUGAACCUUUACUAUAGCUUGACACUGAACAUUGAGCCUUGAUGUGUAGGAUAGGUGGGAGGCUU